rnacentral:misc_RNA from 1 species
UAGUAAAAACAUGGAAGAGGAGGAAGCCACUUCACAUGAUGAGAGUCAAGAGGAGACAACUGAAUGUGCAGGAUGCAUGAACAUCAUCGAUGAAGAUGAGUUCUUCUCAGCUCUAGGGCAAGACUGGCAUACAGAUUGUUUUAGGUGUAGUGCCUGUGAUGUAACCCUAAGCAGCUGGUACUUUGAAAAGGAUGGUCUACUCUUUUGUAAAAAUGAUUAUUGGAAGAAGUAUGGAGAGGCCUGCCAAGAUUGUGGCCAGAUUAUCACUGGUCCAGUCAUGGUGGCAGGAGACCACAAGUUCCACCCAGAAUGUUUCAUCUGUACAUCAUGCUCUGCGUUUAUUGGUGAUGGCGAGUCAUAUGCUCUUGUUGAGAGAUCUAAGUUAUACUGUGGACUGUGUUAUAAGAGACAGAUGCAACCAUUAAACAAGUCAUCAUCAUAUACAAAGAAACCUCACAGUAUCCAGCUUAUUGAGUUACCUGCCAAGUCUGAUAAUCAGCGUAGAAUCAAGCUUAGUGUUGACUCAAGAAAGGGCUUCCCUCUUGCAGGACUCAGUAAUUACAGAGGUCUACGCAUUGCAGAUGUUCCAUCACUCAAAGAAAGGUUACAACAGUUGGAUUCUGCAGCAGACUUAAUGUCUCUGCAUGUUGGAGAUCGAAUUCUUGAAGUGAAUGGAAGACCUGUUGAAGACCACUGUAUUGCUGAUAUUGAAAACCUUAUUACUUGCUCUCAGGAUGUGUUGCAGUUAACCAUUGAGCAUGAUCCAGAGCAGGUGUCGACAAGACGACAAAGUUUUCCCUUUGUGUCACCAUGUCGGAACGUCUCGCCCAUCCAUGACCAGCAACAGAAAGAAGGUUUGCGAGAGCGUCUAUUUAAGCGAAGGGAUGAAGGCUAUGUAUCCGGUACACAACGCAGUCGUCAGUUAAGACGUGGAAGAGGGUGCAAAGAGAGAGCAUCCUCCCUUCCUAAGUUAUUAGAUAAUGACUCUCCCCGUGAAUCUGGCUACUAUGAUCUGAGUAGAACUAAGUCAUUCCGUGUAGAACCAAAGAAUCAUCGAAUCUUCCGUGCAUCUGAUCUCACUCAGGGAGAACUUCUUGGUAAAGGUUUCUUUGGACAGGUUUAUAAAAUGACACAUUCAGAGACAGGUGAAGUUAUGGUUUUGAAGGAACUGUACAGAGUAGAUGAGCAAGCCCAGAAGAACUUCCUGAAAGAGGUUGCAGUUCUUAGAAGUUUGAGUCACAAGAAUGUCUUAAGAUUUAUUGGAGUCCUCUACAAGGACCGUAAACUUCACCUGCUCACCGAACACAUUGGUGGGGGAACCCUGAAGGAGAUUAUACACAACCUAGAAGAGUCUUUACCUUGGGAUCAACGAAUUAGUUUUGCGAAAGACAUAGCCUCAGGCAUGGCGUACCUACAUAAUUGUGAUAUUAUUCAUAGGGAUCUUAACUCCAAUAACUGCCUAGUCAGAGAAGAUAAGACGGUUGUAGUUGCAGACUUUGGAUUGGCGAGAAUUAUGCCUCAGAACAACUGGACUGCUGAGAGGAAAAAGUUUGGGAAAAAACAUGCGAGAAAGAAAAGAUAUACUGUUGUGGGUAACCCGUACUGGAUGGCCCCAGAAAUGAUGAAGGGAAAUAAAUAUGACGAGAAGGUGGACAUCUUCAGUUUUGGUAUUAUCUUAUGUGAGAUCAUUGGACGAGUGGAAGCUGAUCCUGAUUACAUGCCACGAUCCAUGGAUUUUGGCCUCAAUGAGACGGUGUUUUUUACCAAAUAUUGUGAAAACUGCCCUGAACCUUUCUACAAAAUUGCCUUUAUGUGUUGCAACAUAAAUCCUGACGAUAGACCAGCAUUUGAGGUACUGGAGGUUUGGUUGGAAGGAUUGGCAAUGCACUUUGCUGUUGGAGUUCCUGUCCCAGCCAACCUACUGGUCGACAUAUAUAACUUUGAUGGAAGAGGUCAAAGUAGUUCAUCUGAAGCAUCUACUCCAGAGGCCCCAACACCAGAUUCAAGACACCCUCCACCUCUCUUACGCACUAUAAGUGAAGGAACUUAUUCCACUAUUGAUAACUUAAGCCAUGAUUCCUCAUCAUCCUUUUCUGGAGUGGACCGAACAUGCUUUGAUUCUCAAGAGACACUUCUAAAUGACACAAGUUGGAAGUUAAGGAAGACCUUAGAUUUAGGUAAAUUAGAUAUUUUGAAACCAAGCUGGAGCCCCGGUAAUAAUGUAGCUAGAACAGAUUCUGUGAUUAAUAAUUCAAGUGUGAAAACUGAAGGAAGUUUAGAGCAAAAUUCCAUUCCAGAUACUCUUUCUUCUUUCUCUCGGUCAAAGGCCAGCAGCUUGGUGGGGGGGGAAGUAGAGUGUACACAACUAUGAUUUUUUUUUUUUUUUUUUAUUCAUUUAUAGUAAGAGGUAAGUUAUGUUUGCAAUAAUGUACAGGGAUAUUUGUUACAAGAGGUUAAUGAGUUUUCCUAUUGAAUUGCAUUGGAAAGUAUUUAACAAAAGAUUGGUACAAAGUUGACUUAUAGCAUUCCUUUUAUAGUGAUGUUAGAAAUACCUUUAUAGGUAGUGGAGUAGAAUUAUAAUGACUAAGCAGUUAUUAUUAUUAUAAAUAAUUUUUCGCUCAUGUUGUUUCCCUAUUUGUUGGAGAGCUACAGCAGAGCCUCUUCCUUGGACUGGUGAUAUCUCAUACCUGCAACAAACUGGAACCCAUCUUGGAGUUAGGUCUGCUCUCACUCUUGUUGAACUACAAGCAAGAGGAAUGGAAAGUAAAUAGUCAUAAUAACUUCCCAUCAAUCAAUACGAAACAGAAAAUGGUUCAUCAGGAGGAACAUACCUGUACAUUGAAGAUGACAGGAAGAUGGCUAUCAAAAACAGUGAGGAGGAUCCUCCUUGCUGUCGAAGUGAUUUCAAGUUGUCAUGAUCAUUAGGGAAAUUAGGUAGGUAUAUAAUUAUCUGUAU